UACGAAGGGGGCUAGCGUUGUUCGGAAUUACUGGGCGUAAAGCGCACGUAGGCGGACUUGUCAGUCAGGGGUGAAAUCCCGAGGCUUAACCUCGGAACUGCCUUUGAUACUGCAAGUCUUGAGGAUGAGAGAGGUAAGUGGAACUGCGAGUGUAGAGGUGAAAUUCGUAGAUAUUCGCAAGAACACCAGUGGCGAAGGCGGCUUACUGGCUCAUUUCUGACGCUGAGGUGCGAAAGCGUGGGGAGCAAACAGGG
rnacentral:rRNA from 1 species